GCGAAAUUUUGAAUUCUGGUACCAGUAAAGUAUCAGUCUUCGUAUAAGUGAUAUGGACUGACAUUGAAAUUGAAAGUGAGGAAAUUCUCGAAAAAUACAAGGUUUACGAAAUGGAACAAGGCUGCUUCUGAUGUCAAUAACAUGUAAAAACGGAACGUAGGAGGACCCUUCGUCUCAUUCCUCCUGGUAGAGGGCUGGAUUCGAGGCACGGAGGAUUAUAUUGAAAAGGCACAACGACUGGGAAAUUGAACAAGGCUGAUCCUGAUCUUGGCAACAGCAGGAAUGAAACGAAGGAGGACCUCUUGUCUUAUUACACGUGGCAGAGGGACUGGAUUCGAGGCAUGAUGAAGAUAUUCGGAGAACAUGCAACCAGUGUGCACCUAACCAAUUAAUAACCUAUUAAUACUCAUUUAUUGUAUUCAUAAUUUAAUUAUUAUGUACUUA